UUUAAUAUGGCAGAUAAAGUGCAAUGGAUUUAAGAUCCAUAAAUUUAGUUUAAUUAACUUUUAUUAAAA
rnacentral:tRNA from 1 species